GUUAUUUUGAAAUGUGACCAGGUGGAAAACUACACAGCAUAAGAAUUCUCAAGCAAGUGAAGGAAGAAUGGAUUAGCGUCCGUUUGCAUCUGAUUGCAGCUUUGACUCACCACUUGUUUUUGUGGAUUCCUUAUAACUUAUGCAGCAUAUCGCCAUUUAAACGAAUUUUGGUCUGUGGAUAAGCAAGCAAACAAGAUAAGAUAGGCAUGGCUUUUCUUGCUUUUCC
rnacentral:lncRNA from 1 species